GACAGAGGGUGCAAACGUUGUUCGGAAUUACUGGGCGUAAAGGGCGCGUAGGCGGCCCGCUAAGUCGAACGUGAAAUCCCCGAGCUCAACUCGGGAACUGCGUCCGAUACUGGCGGGCUUGAAUCCGGGAGAGGGAUGCGGAAUUCCAGGUGUAGCGGUGAAAUGCGUAGAUAUCUGGAGGAAUACCGGUGGCGAAGGCGGCAUCCUGGACCAUUUCUGACGCUGAGGCGCGAAAGCGUGGGGAGCAAACAGG
rnacentral:rRNA from 1 species